GAACCCCUACUAGCUGUGAGCUCCUGAGGAGUCAGGCCUGAGUAUGUGGGUCAUCUAGCACAUCCUUAAUAGAAUGACUGCCUGGAUGUGACCACUCUCAUCCUCAACCCUCACACACCCUGCCAGCAUGCCUCAGACCUUACUCCAGCUCAAGAUAAGUCUCAGAUUGCAGGAUCCCUGGUGCAGGGAACAAAGGUGAAUGAUUGUCUUGUGAGCCUCCUGUUGACUGAUUCUGUUUUACAUAGCUGCACAGAGCCCUUGUGGUUAUUUGGGGUUGGUGGUGGCUUCUGUAUUACUCACUUCUGCAUGAACCAGUUAACUCAGGAUCUGAGGCCACAGUUCCUUUCUUAGUCACUGACCCAUCUGGCAGACUUGAAAUUAAUCAGACAAACAUUGUUCAUAGUUAACAUAUCCUUGGAAGUUUCUCAGCUAUAAAGAAGAGGUCUUGGUGGCUAGGGAGGCCUUUCUGUGUAUCCUUUUCUAUUCAGUGAGAGCCUAGAGGGUGCUGCCCAGCCAUAUUCUGCCUAGCCUCAGCUAUUCUCCUGAAAAAAAAUUGGCAUCUGACAACCUGGAUGGUGACUAUAGGUAGUCAAAUCCAGCUGGCUGGUCUCCUGGGGGUUAGCUUCUAUGGAGCUGCAAGUCACCUGAAAUGAUACUGGCAGUGUUAGGACAGCAUGUCCAAAGGCCUGGUUUUUUCAGAACUGGUCUCAGCAAAAUUUCUUGCCAACUUCUGCAGUUCCCAUAAGUACAUGAUAACUGAAACACUUGAAGAGCACCCCCAGCAAUGGGCUUGUGCUUUUAGUAGAAUAUGUGCUUGCUUCCAUUUAGGGGUAAGAAGGUGGGCCCCUCACCAUAUGCUGCACAGAGAAGAGAGACACCAUCACUCAUUUAUUCAUUUAACAAGUGCUUUCCAAGCCACUACUAGGUGCCAAGCACUUCCUAGGUCCUGGGGAUACAGUGGAGACUAAGAUGGAGCCAGUUCUUUCUCAUAGGGAUCUCACAGCUUAGUGAGGGAGAAAGCCAAAGAAUCAAAAUACAGAGAGGGUCUGAGGGGCCCAUUUUGAGAGCCAUCAUAGUGGUGAGGAGUGUGAGUGCUAGAGUCAGGCCGAUCAAAUCCCAGCCUGCCAUUGGCUAGCCUUGUGACUUUGAGCAAGUUAUCUUACUUCGUGGAACCUCAGGUUUCUCAUCCAUAAAAUGGGGAAGUUGGAUAGGGUAUUAUGAGGAUUGAAAUGCAUUUAUACAUGUAAAGCGUAAGUACUGGCUCAGGGUGAGCACUCAAUAAAUGGCAGUUAUACCUACUUUUAUUAGGAAGUGAUACACCUUGAGCAAAACCCCUUAGAGUAUAAGGCAUAGCAUUCUUACAUAUUUUUAAAAUUUAAAAUAAAAUUUAAAACAUCUGGCCCUUUAUAAUCAGUCCACCACAAAGAAGAGAUGGAGAAAUCACCCUUCCUUGUUUUGUAUCUAUGGGGUGCAAACAUUUAAUCCUCCCAACUGUCAAAAAAGUGGGAUUUUCACAGCCUGUUUUACAGCAGAGGAAACUGAUAUUCAGAGAGGUUAAGUAAAUUUGCCCAGUGCCACACAUCUAAUAAAUGGCUGAGCUGGAAUCAAGGCCAGCUCUUACUUGACUGCAAAAUCCAUGUUUUAUGCAGCUCCUCCACUAUCUUGGCCUCCAAGGCAGCUGGGUUUGAACACUACCCUUGCAGCCCAGUCAGCCAAUCCCUUGCUCUCCUGAAGCUUUUGCUGGUGGGCCAGCCCCACCUGCUUUCCUUGUGCACUCUGACUUGGACCCUGAAGUGAGAAGAGUUGGCACAGGACAUCUUACUUCCCUGAAAACAGUACCUGGACUUUUCUGUAUCUUCACUUCCAUUAGGCAUUGGGCAAAUGGGUCAUGCAGAUGAAAACCAUCCAAGAAAAGAGACACGGGAGUGAAAUUCACACCCACUCUGGCUUUCAGACUAUGGGUCUGAACAUUAGCCCAUGGUGUUUCUUGGCCAUACUGACCUGUGCCAUUUCAGCUGCAUUCAUCUCAGUUGGUGUUGUCUGCUGGCUGCUCUUUCUAAUUUCCCACAGGAGCAGUAAGAGCCUGAGGAAGAGUAGGGUCAGAGGAGUCUGGGAGAAUGAGGAAAUAUGGGAGCCCCAGGAACUGAAAAGGCCUGUGAGAGACUCUGAGCUUCCUGGGAACAGGUGCAGUGGCUCAUGCCUGUAAUCCCAUCACUUUGGGAGGCCGAGGCGGGCAGAUCGUGAGGUCAGGAGAUCGAGACCAUCCUGGCUAACACAGUGAAACCCCGUCUCUACUAAAAAUACAAAAAAAUUAGCCAGGCGUGGUGGCAGGUGCCUGUAUUCCCAGCUACUUGGGAGGCUGAGGCUGGAAAAUGGCGCAAACCCGGGGGGCGGAGCUUGCAGUGAGCGGAGAUUGCGCCACUGCACUCCAGCCUGGGUGACAGAACGAGACUCAGUCUCAAAAAACAAAACAAAGCAAAACAAAAACAACAACAAAAAAUUCCACAUUGACAAGGAUGGGAAUAUGAGAACAUGGAAACAGCUAUGAAAAGAUGUAAGAGAAUUAGGAGCAUUUUCUUUAAUAGAUCAUCAUUUUUUUAAAAAAAAAAACUUGCUUGUAUUUUUUUAUUUUUUAAAUAGAGACAGGGUUUUACCAUGUUGCCCAGACUAGUCUUGAACUCCUGGGCUCAAGCGAUCUUGGCCUCCCUAAGUGCUGGGAUUACAGUCAUGAGCCACUGUGCCCCGCCAUUUUUUAGUAAACCUUUCUAAUGGAUGGAACAAGUAAAACACAUGCAGUGGAUGCUCAGCAGGCCUUGAGUGUGUGAAUGAAAAAUAUUUGAACUUGUUUUUACUGGUUGAUUUCAUUGCUUAAAAAACACCUUAGCCGGACACAGUGGCGUGCGCUUGUAGUCCCAGCUACUCAUCUCUUCAAAAAAAAGUUUUAUGCUUGUUAAUUUCAUAAAAGCUAGAGGGAUCACCCCAAUCAAAUAAAGCUACUCAAAAAUAAAAUACGAAA
rnacentral:sRNA from 1 species